CGGGUGAGUAACACGUGGAUAACCUACCUAUAAGACUGGGAUAACUUCGGGAAACCGGAGCUAAUACCGGAUAAUAUAUUGAACCGCAUGGUUCAAUAGUGAAAGACGGUUUUGCUGUCACUUAUAGAUGGAUCCGCGUCGCAUUAGCUGGUUGGUAAGGUAACAGCUUACCAAGGCAACGAUGCGUAGCCGACCUGAGAGGGUGAUCGGCCACACUGGAACUGAGACACGGUCCAG
rnacentral:rRNA from 1 species